rnacentral:rRNA from 1 species
GCGGAGGAAAAGAAAAUAACAAUGAUUCCCUCAGUAACGGCGAGUGAACAGGGAAAAGCUCAAAGUUGGAACCUCCUGGCCCUAGGUCUGGCGGAUUGUAAACUAAAGCUCUCGAGUAGUUCGGCUAGCCUGGUAAAAAAGUUCUCUGGAAAGGGACGACAUGGAGGGUGAAAUCCCCGUCUUUGGCCAGAGCAUAGUCCAACGUUUGCUUGGAAGUGAAGAGUCAGGUUGUUUGGUAUUGCAGCCUAAAGCUGGAGGUAAAUCUCUCCUAAAGCUAAAUAUUGACGAAAGACCGAUAGCGAACAAGUACCGUGAGGGAAAGAUGAAAAGCACUUUGAAAAGAGGGUCAAAAAGUACGUGAAAUUGCUGAAAGGGAACCGUAUGAAAUCAGCCUGUCUCUUUGGUAAUCAACCUGGAAUUCGUUCUGGGUGCACUUGCCGGUGAGUCAGCCUGCGACAAUUUGACUUGGGGGAAAAAAUCGGGGGGAAUGUGGCCUCGGCUUCGGUCGUGGUGUUAUAGCCCUUUGAAAAAUACCCUGGGUUGGAUUGAGGACUGCAGCGAGCCUUUGGGAUGAACUGUGGGCGCUUGGCUUUGCCUUGAAAGAAAUCUCUGCUUCGGGUGGUGUCUUUCUCGGCGGGGUCAACUCGCCUACUUUUUCUUUUUCUCGCUUAGUCGCAGCAUAAUGAUUUUAUAUGAC